rnacentral:rRNA from 1 species
GAUGAACGCUGGCUACAGGCUUAACACAUGCAAGUCGAGGGGCAGCAUGGGGUUUGCUUGCAAACCCCGANNGGCGACCGGCGCACGGGUGAGUAACGCGUAUCCAACCUUCCCGCGACUCGGGUAUAACCUGCCGAAAGGCAGACUAAUCCCCGAUGUCCUCCACUUUGGACAUCUUUUGUGGAGCAAAGGCUUCGGCCGGUUGCGGAUGGGGAUGCGUCCGAUUAGCUUGUUGGCGGGGCAAUGGCCCACCAAGGCUUCGAUCGGUAGGGGUUCUGAGAGGAAGGCCCCCCACAUUGGAACUGAGACACGGUCCAAACUCCUACGGGAGGCAGCAGUGAGGAAUAUUGGUCAAUGGGCGGAAGCCUGAACCAGCCAAGUAGCGUGCAGGAUGACGGCCCUAUGGGUUGUAAACUGCUUUUAUGCGGGGAUAACCGGGGCCACGCGUGGCCCCCUGCAGGUACCGCAUGAAUAAGGACCGGCUAAUUCCGUGCCAGCAGCCGCGGUAAUACGGAAGGUCCGGGCGUUAUCCGGAUUUAUUGGGUUUAAAGGGAGCGUAGGCCGGGGAUUAAGUGUGUUGUGAAAUGUAGGCGCCCAACGUCUGACUUGCAGCGCAUACUGGUUCCCUUGAGUACGCGCAACGCCGGCGGAAUUCGUCGUGUAGCGGUGAAAUGCUUAGAUAUGACGAAGAACCCCGAUUGCGAAGGCAGCCGGCGGGAGCGCAACUGACGCUGAAGCUCGAAGGUGCGGGUAUCGAACAGG